UGCAAGUCGAACGGCAGCGCGGGGGCUUCGGUCUCUGGCGGCGAGUGGCGGACGGGUGAGUAAUAUAUGGGAACGCGCCCGGCGGCGGGGGAUAACUCUGGGAAACCAGAGCUAAUACCGCAUGCGUUUCGCCUUUCGGGGCGAAAGAAAGCGGGGGACUUCUUCGGAGGCCUCGCACCGGCGGAGCGGCCCAUAUCCGAUUAGCUUGUUGGCGGGGUAACAGCCCACCAAGGCCGCGAUCGGUAGCUGGUCUGAGAGGACGGACAGCCACACCGGGACUGAGACACGGCCCGGACUCCUACGGGAGGCAGCAGUGGGGAAUAUUGGACAAUGGGGGCAACCCUGAUCCAGCAAUGCCGCGUGUGUGAAGAAGGCCUUCGGGUUGUAAAGCACUUUCGCGGGGGAAGAAAAAGCGGAGGAUAAUACCUUUCGCGCCUGACGGUACCCCGAGAAGAAGCACCGGCUAACUACGUGCCAGCAGCCGCGGUAAUACGUAGGGUGCGAGCGUUAAUCGGAAUUACUGGGCGUAAAGCGUGCGCAGGCGGCCUGUCAAGUCGGGUGUGAAAUCCCCGGGCUCAACCCGGGAAUUGCGCUUGAAACCGGCGGGCUAGAGUACGGCAGAGGAAGGUGGAAUUCCGUGUGUAGCGGUGAAAUGCGUAUAUAUACGGAAGAACACUCAUGGCGAAGGCAUCCUUCUGGGCCGUAACUGACGCUCAUGCACGAAAGCGUGGGGAGCAAACAGGAUUAGAU
rnacentral:rRNA from 1 species